GUGCUUACUUCAGCAGAACAUAUUCUAAAAUUAUAGUGAUAUAGAGAAGAUUAGCAUGGACCCUAUGCAAGGAUGACAUGUAAAUUCAUGAAGCAUUCCAUAUUUAA
rnacentral:snRNA from 1 species